rnacentral:lncRNA from 1 species
AUGUUACAGCCCAAGACUACACCUCCACAGAAGACCCUUCCUGAGAUUUCCUUGUUCAGCUGUAUAUAAUGAGCCUGACUCCUCAUCCAGUUAUAUAAAAUAACACCGUCUCUCCAUUUAGCUAUAUACAAGAAGCCUGCCUCCUCAAUUCAAAUAAAUAAAAAAACUUACCAAGUUUCUAGGUUGUUGAUUGUAUGUCUCUAUCUCUCUAUCACAGCAUGAAGCCCAUCUGAUUCCAACUUUUCUGUAUGUGUCUCCGAAAUUUCUUCAUUUCUGGUCACCCCAGUUAGGUCAGCCCUAAAGUUGUGCAGGUUGUGUCAAUCUCUAAAAGUGUUAAGAACUGGAGAGCUAUCCCAAGAACACAUUGCCUUGGUCUUCUGGACAAAGAAUUAACAGAUUACACUGGGAAGUCAUCCUUUUCUUCUCUCUCCAGGGCAAGAAAAUGUGAGAGAAGUAAGAGUAAUUUUAAAAUAAUUUUCACUCCUGCUAAUUGUAAUUGUUAGAGUUGUUCUAAUUCUAAUUGCUCCAGUAAAACCAAGUUAAAAUGGUUUCAUUGUGCAAGUUGUAGUUAUAAUUAAGCAAAAUUUAAGGAAAAAUCAUAAUUUGAUAGAUAGUUACAUUUGUGGAAAAUCAUGCUGUUUUGACCCAAAACUCAAAAGGACAAGUAUAUGUAGCAAAUUAAAUGCAAACUAUAAAUAGAAUUUGAGUGUUUAAUUACAACUCCUAAUAAACUACAUGACUCAAUAAAGAUAAACA